GACGAACGCUGGCGGCGUGCCUAACACAUGCAAGUCGAGCGGGGAUUUAAGUGGAAGUUCUUCGGAAUGGAGAUUUAAAUUCUAGCGGCGGACGGGUGAGUAACGCGUGAACAAUCUGUCCCGGACAGGGGGAUAACACUUGGAAACAGGUGCUAAUACCGCAUAAGACCACGGCCUCGCAUGGGGCUGAGGUAAAAGGAGCAAUCCGGUUCGGGGUGAGUUCGCGUCCGAUUAGCUAGUAGGUGAGGUAACGGCCCCACAAGGCGACGAUCGGUAGCCGGCCUGAGAGGGUGAACGGCCACAUUGGAACUGAGAGACGGUCCAAACUCCUACGGGAGGCAGCAGUGGGGAAUAUUGGGCAAUGGGCGAAAGCCUGACCCAGCAACGCCGCGUGAGUGAAGAAGGUUUUCGGAUUGUAAACCUCUGUCCUAUGGGACGAAGGAAGUGACGGUACCAUAGGAGGAAGCCCCGGCUAACUACGUG
rnacentral:rRNA from 1 species